AAUCUGUCAAAACGUUGCAAGUGGGACGCAACUUACGAAUAAAAGUCGGGCGUGAUCGAGUACUAAAAUAAUUACGCUUACUUUGCGCAUUCAAAUAAAGAAUGUAUAAACGGUAGUUGGGAGUGAUUACCGAAUAGCUUUAAACUAAACUGCUCGAAACGUUGUUGAAAAUAUUACGACAGUAUUUGAAAUAUUGUUAUUCUAUGCAUUUUCGUGGCACGCGUGAUACAUAUCUCAAAGAAAAGAAAAAUAAUAACGCAUGUGUACAUAUUGUCCAAGCAUCAUGAGUUCUGGUGCGAAACAAUUGAAAAUUUUUGAAACGCUGUAAUUAUGUGAUGUUGGGAUUACGUAGGACGAGAAAAAUGCAUUCGAUCGUACUGGUCGGUGGCAUUAUUUUUUUUCUCGUACUCAUGAUCCAGGUUAAACAGAUCUACGAUAAUAAUCAGAAGCACUAUAGAUUCAUGGAAUACAAACAAUACAUUAAAGAAAUUACUGCAGAAAUGAAUGUGGUUGAGAGGUCAGCCAAUAAGUCAUCUGCUUAUGUUCGACAACUCAACGAAGCUCUUCUCAAACAUCGGGAAAGAGAGGUCAGGAAUAUUUCUUUACCUCAGUUGACUACAAUCUUAUAAUCUUUAGAAAAUUCUGAAUAUUAAUAAAUAACUUAAUUUGGAAAUUAGAAAACAGUAAAAGUCCAUCGUAUGUAGAGAAAACAGAGAAAUUUGACGUUUUGAUAAAAUAAAGUCUUUGUUGGUCUCCCAUUUUACUUGCCGCAGCUAGGAUUCCAUUUAAAUCGUCUUUUUAAUGAUAACGAAUGAUGAUUCUAUAGAAAACUGGACGAUUAAGAUUACAAUAAAAUAAGACAUCAGAUGAUUCCAUUAGCACAUACAUGACAGAAAUAAGAGCUGCUAAGCGUAUUAAUGAUAAAUUUAAAAUAAUUUUAACUCGUAUUUGUAAUUGUCCACGUACCUUUAUAAUGUCAAUGAAAAAAUUACAUUUCUUUUUUAAACUUGGUUGUUGUCUGUGUAAUAUUAUAUAAGUUUGAUCUUUUCUUUACACUUUGAUAGUCUUGAACAUAGAUGUUAUCGUUACUCUUGAUAAAAAGCAAAGCUUACUUUGCGUGUAGCAUGUGUCAUUUUUUAGAGAGCAUUUUUCUCAAUUAGAUAUAGUGUU
rnacentral:lncRNA from 1 species